AUACGUAGGGGGCGAGCGUUGUCCGGAAUGAUUGGGCGUAAAGGGCGCGUAGGCGGCUUUGCAAGUCAGUAGUGGAAGACCAUUUUUCAAGGUUGGAAGCGCUACAGAAACUGCGGGGCUUGAGUGCAGGAGAGGGUAUCGGAAUUCCCGGUGUAGCGGUGAAAUGCGUAGAGAUCGGGAGGAACACCAGUGGCGAAGGCGGGUAACUGGACUGCAACUGACGCUGAGGCGCGAAAGUGUGGGGAGCAAACAGGAUUAGAUACCCUGGUAGUCCACACUGUAAACGAUGAAUGCUAGGUGUAGGAGGUAUCGACCCCUUCUGUGCCGCAGUAAACACAGUAAGCAUUCCGCCUGGGGAGUACGGUCGCAAGAUUAAAACUCAAAGGAAUUGACGGGG
rnacentral:rRNA from 1 species